CACCGCCCGUCACACCAUGGGAGUUUGUUGCACCAGAAGCAGGUAGCUUAACCGCAAGGAGGGCGCUUGCCACGGUGUGGCCGAUGACGUGGGGUG
rnacentral:rRNA from 1 species